UUUAAUGUUUGAUGUUCUAACGUGGACCCGUAAUCCGGGUUGCGGACAGUGUCUGGUGGGUAGUUUGACUGGGGCGGUCUCCUCCUAAAGAGUAACGGAGGAGCACGAAGGUUGGCUAAUCCUGGUCGGACAUCAGGAGGUUAGUGCAAUGGCAUAAGCCAGCUUGACUGCGAGCGUGACGGCGCGAGCAGGUGCGAAAGCAGGUCAUAGUGAUCCGGUGGUUCUGAAUGGAAGGGCCAUCGCUCAACGGAUAAAAGGUACUCCGGGGAUAACAGGCUGAUACCGCCCAAGAGUUCAUAUCGACGGCGGUGUUUGGCACCUCGAUGUCGGCUCAUCACAUCCUGGGGCUGAAGUAGGUCCCAAGGGUAUGGCUGUUCGCCAUUUAAAGUGGUACGCGAGCUGGGUUUAGAACGUCGUGAGACAGUUCGGUCCCUAUCUGCCGUGGGCGCUGGAGAACUGAGGGGGGCUGCUCCUAGUACGAGAGGACCGGAGUGGACGCAUCACUGGUGUUCGGGUUGUCAUGCCAAUGGCACUGCCCGGUAGCUAAAUGCGGAAGAGAUAAGUGCUGAAAGCAUCUAAGCACGAAACUUGCCCCGAGAUGA
rnacentral:rRNA from 1 species